rnacentral:rRNA from 1 species
UACGUAGGGGGCAAGCGUUGUCCGGAUUCAUUGGGCGUAAAGAGCGUGUAGGCGGCCAGGUAGGUCGGUUGUGAAAACUGGAGGCUCAACCUUCAGAGGUCGACCGAAACCAUCUGGCUAGAGUCCGGGAGAGGAGAGUGGAAUUCCUGGUGUAGCGGUGAAAUGCGCAGAUAUCAGGAGGAACACCGAUGGCGAAGGCAGGUCUCUGGGCCACUACUGACGCUGAGAAGCGAAAGCACGGGGAGCGAACAGG